CUUUCUUUGCUGGCGACCGGCGCACGGGUGAGUAACACGUAUCCAACCUGCCCUUUACUCGGGGAUAGCCUUUCGAAAGAAAGAUUAAUACCCGAUAGUAUAAUGAUUCCGCAUGGUUUCAUUAUUAAAGGAUUCCGGUAAAGGAUGGGGAUGCGUUCCAUUAGGUUGUUGGUGAGGUAACGGCUCACCAAGCCUUCGAUGGAUAGGGGCUCUGAGAGGAAGGUCCCCCACAUUGGAACUGAGACACGGUCCAA
rnacentral:rRNA from 1 species